rnacentral:rRNA from 1 species
GCAUAUCAAUAAGCGGAGGAAAAGAAACCAACAGGGAUUGCCCUAGUAACGGCGAGUGAAGCGGCAACAGCUCAAAUUUGAAAUCUGGCUCUUUCAGAGUCCGAGUUGUAAUUUGCAGAGGGCGCUUUGGCUUUGGCAGCGGUCCAAGUUCCUUGGAACAGGACGUCACAGAGGGUGAGAAUCCCGUACGUGGUCGCUAGCUAUUGCCGUGUAAAGCCCCUUCGACGAGUCGAGUUGUUUGGGAAUGCAGCUCUAAAUGGGAGGUAAAUUUCUUCUAAAGCUAAAUAUUGGCCAGAGACCGAUAGCGCACAAGUAGAGUGAUCGAAAGAUGAAAAGCACUUUGGAAAGAGAGUCAAACAGCACGUGAAAUUGUUGAAAGGGAAGCGCUUGCAGCCAGACUUGCUUGCAGUUGCUCAUCCGGGCUUUUGCCCGGUGCACUCUUCUGUAGGCAGGCCAGCAUCAGUUUGGGCGGUGGGAUAAAGGUCUCUGUCACGUACCUCUCUUCGGGGAGGCCUUAUAGGGGAGACGACAUACCACCAGCCUAGACUGAGGUCCGCGCAUCUGCUAGGAUGCUGGCGUAAUGGCUGUAAGCGGCCCG